rnacentral:rRNA from 1 species
UACGUAGGGUCCGAGCGUUGUCCGGAAUUAUUGGGCGUAAAGAGCUCGUAGGCGGUCCGUUAAGUCGGAAGUGAAAUCUCAAGGCUCAACCUUGAAAUCGCUUUCGAUACUGGCGGACUUGAGGCAGGUAGGGGAAGGUGGAAUUCCUGGUGUAGCGGUGAAAUGCGCAGAUAUCAGGAGGAACACCGGUGGCGAAGGCGGGAUCCUGGGCCAGUACUGACGCUGAGGAGCGAAAGCGUGGGGAGCAAACAGG